AUAUUUGACAUAAAUUUGUCAAAACUUUAUUGUAUACCCUCCGCUUCAUCAGGACCCUCACUUUCUCACUCAACUCACUCAGACGCUCGCCAAAAACGUAUCCCACGGCAACGCGCGGGGUCAACAACUAGUUUAACUCUGAGUUAAAAAAUUUUGGUUAUAAUUGUUUUGAUGCUUUUAUUAUAUAUACUUUCUAUCUUUUUUUAUUAUAAAUGGUAAUUCCCUACAGGGACUCUAAAAUUGAUGGGACGAGACAUUUUCUCAUCAGAAACGGGAGACUUAUGAACCAAAAUGUCCGUGCAACGGGUACCUUUUUAUUGGCAGGAAGAAAUUACAAAUGAUGAUAAUAGUGUAACCACCGUUACACAAAGGGCAACAACUGAUACACUUGUAGGUAUGGAUCGGCCUACUCCUUUUUUCUCAUUUCCAAUCCUCUUUACUAAAUAAUUUUCUUUGAGUUCUCUUACAGGUUGUACUUAUUAGGAUGUUGAUGAAAUCAUGAGGUGGUAAAGAUGUGCAUGUGAUCAUAGAUAUUGUUAGAUGCAGUUGGUUAUAGUAGACUUUUUCAUGAUCCUUAAUUUAAAUUUGUGUUAUCGUUUCUUUUGAGUCUGUUUAUAACCAACGUGUAAGAAUUUGCAUUGACAAAUUGUCAAAACUUUGUUGAUUGUUUCUUUAA